rnacentral:rRNA from 1 species
CUACGGGUGGCUCCAGUAGGGAAUAUUGCACAAUGGACGAAAGUCUGAUGCAGCAACUCCACGUGUGGGAUGACGCAUUUAGGUGUGUAAACCACUGUCAGAUGUGAAUAAAAAGGCUUAUGCCAAUUGAAUGUAGCAUCAAAGGAAGCACCGGCUAACUUCGUGCCAGCAGCCGCGGUAACACGAGGGGUGCAAGCGUGGUUCGGAAUUACUGGGCGUAAAGGGAGCGUAGGCGGAUUAUCAAGUCAGAUGUUUAAUUCCGUGGCCUAACCACGGGUGUGCAUUUGAAACUGGUAGUCUUGAAUGGUUCAGGGGCUGAUGGAAUACCUGGUGUAGCGGUGGAAUGCGUAGAUAUCAGGUGGAACACCAAUGGCGAAGGCAGUCAGCUGGGGACACAUUGACGCUGAGGCUCGAAAGUGUGGGGAGCGAACAGGAUUAGAUACCCUUGUAGUC